rnacentral:lncRNA from 1 species
CUGGCUUGCCACUACAUACUGCUAGAUGUCACUGAUAGAUUGUGAGAGCUCACUUGGAUUAUUUUGGAUCGGCGAUGCUUAUUGAGUGAGAGUAGAAUGGUUACGAUCUAUUGAAAAGAGUUUCAAUGAUAUUAUGAUAGAGAUCAUAGUAUAUCUCACUACCAGACAGAAUUAAACCUAUAAAGUCACACAAACAAGG